AUUGGCUGGAGCUCACCAUGGCAACCGCCAGCAUCCUUGGGGAGUCUGGACCACAUAAUGGAGGCUCUGCUCAACAUCCCUGGAAAGUGGCUGGAUUGGAUGGCAGCACUGGGGGCAUCGCAGGGCCUCCCUCGCCUGGGCUCCUCAGGAGGGAGAGACCCUCCCCUUUAAGGCAACUGAAGUAUUCAUUUAUUUUCAUUUUUUAUUACAUAGGCUUUUAUACCACCUUUAUUAUUUCUCUAAAUAGCCCAAGGCAGUGAACGAAUCUAAGAUUCCUUCAUCCCCACAAAAACAACCUUGUGAAGGCUGAGAGAGAGACUGGUUCCAGGUCACCCACCUGGCUUUCGUGGCUGAGAUGGGACUCAUUAAGGUGACAAUGAAAAGGAAGUAGUCAAUAGAAGCCUACAGCUGAAAGGGACCUUGUGAGCAACAAGGAAGAAAUGGUCAAUAUCCUUGGGCGAUCUCUCAGUGACCACUGAUGGUCCCAACCUCCAGGUUGAUGAACUGAGAGACUCCUUUGACUUUCAGUCCCAGAAAUUCCAGAAAGAAAAUCAAUGGAUGAAAGAUCAGCACAGCUGUCUCCAGGAGAAAGUGGAUUAACUUAAGACCACAACAGAAGACCUGCAGAAAACCUGCAGAAGAUCAUGUCAUCAGUUAGAGCUAGAGAACACAUCUUUGAUGAAAUACAUUGAAGAACUCCACAAAGAACUAGCCAAUUGUCCAUCUCAGCCGAGAGAAGGUGACUCUGAGAAAGACCUCGAAGAGGUGAGGAACCUUCCGCCAGAAGGUAAGAAAUUCCUCCAGAGUCUACAGCAUGAACUGGCUGAGAUGGACCACAAUUACCAUGUGGAGAAAAGCCAUUACAGCCAACUGAGAAAGUCGGACUAUGAGAGAAAACAAGCAGAAGCACAGUCUGCAGCAGCCACAUCAGACCUCCCAGAUCCGGCUCUGGCCAGACUCACCUGGCACACUAGGUAUCAAGCCCCCCCGCUUCUUCUCCCAGGUACACCAGAUGAGAAACAUGAUGUAACUCUACUUUAUUGGAAGGGCACAUAAGAGAACCUUGCAUGUCUGAAAGUACAAAUCUCCCACCAAAGCUUUUGAAAGCCUGAAAAAUGAGGGAGGGUCCUUUCUGAGGUUCUUUCUCUGCCAAUUAUGCACCUGGGAGCUCCUCUCCCCCCUUAUCUGAUCAUUCCCUGUGCAGCAUCUUCUCCAUCUAUUCUUCUAUAUUGUCAUUAAUACAGGCAGGAUAGUUGAAGAAAUAGGAUUUUUUCAGGAUGCAACAUUUAUAUCGACUCUUAGACAAAGCUACUUUGAUGUUGUUUUAAAAAUACCACCCAGUUUUUAGAACAAUAUCUAUGAUUUCCUAAUAGAGUGCAUAAGUAAAAUCCAGUAGAAAAAUAAAUAAUUUUAGCAGGAGGACUUAACAAGCUCUCCUAUUUUAUAUAAGAACAAACGAAUGGCAGCUACAAUGUGAAUCUUUCAUUAAGAUUUCAUUUGUACUUUU